rnacentral:rRNA from 1 species
AGUGAACGCAGGCGGUAGGCCUAACACAUGCAAGUCGAACGGCAGCACAGUAAGAGCUUGCUCUUACGGGUGGCGAGUGGCGGACGGGUGAGGAAUACAUCGGAAUCUACUUUUUCGUGGGGGAUAACGUAGGGAAACUUACGCUAAUACCGCAUACGACCUACGGGUGAAAGCAGGGGAUCUUCGGACCUUGCGCGAUUGAAUGAGCCGAUGUCGGAUUAGCUAGUUGGCGGGGUAAAGGCCCACCAAGGCGACGAUCCGUAGCUGGUCUGAGAGGAUGAUCAGCCACACUGGAACUGAGACACGGUCCAGACUCCUACGGGAGGCAGCAGUGGGGAAUAUUGGACAAUGGGCGCAAGCCUGAUCCAGCCAUACCGCGUGGGUGAAGAAGGCCUUCGGGUUGUAAAGCCCUUUUGUUGGGAAAGAAAAGCAGCAGGUUAAUACCCCGCUGUUCUGACGGUACCCAAAGAAUAAGCACCGGCUAACUUCGU